UGACAUAAGAGGGAGAGUGGAUUUGAGGCAAAUGAAAUGUGGAACUCAAAGUUCAGAGAGAUUUAAAGAAUUUUCCAUGGUCACACAGCUUGUAAAUGACAGAAACAAGAAGGCUGGAACUCACCUCUCUGAUUCUGGCAAGGCUGGACACCAUCCAAUCACGCCCGGCUAGACUUCUGGAGGCUGUAAAUUAUAUCUUCGGAGCUGAGGGAGAGAAGAAAGAACAAAAACACAGUUGGGGAGACACUCGGUGGACCUUCAUAGGCCAAGUGGGAAACGAGAGAAAGGAUGAGCCCAUCCUUUCCCACUUAUUUUUCCUGGGUACAAUUUGCAUUUAAGGGCAGGGUUUAUCAACGUUGUUCCCACCUGGGCCACCAGCAAACGACCCAGCUACCUGUGUUUAUUCCACGCUGACCAGGCUGGAGAAAAUCACCUUCUUUCACUGGAAAAGGAGACUUUACAAAGGCAACUCAGGGCUGCUAGCCUCAAGAGAGCAUCUCAUAUUAAUCAGAAAUUAUACAACGGUCUAAAAGUUGAACCAAAGAAAUUUUGGUAGAAGAGUCAGGACAAGAAUGAGGAAAAUCGAAAGUGAAAUCCCGCGCUGCUUGAAAGUGACUACGGCGCCUGCAUCUCUCCCCAGCCACCGCGUAACUGCCUGCCUAUCCCGGGAAGG
ensembl:lncRNA